UGAAUACGAGAUGCUACGGCGUCGAAGCAGUCUAUGUCAUACUUCCAAGAAAAGCUCGCACUGUCAUAAACAAAUAAUGCCUGUACCAUAACCGAUACAGGUGGGUAGGUAGAGUAUACUAAGGGGCGCGAGAUAACUCUCUCUAAGGAACUCGGCAAAAUGACUCCGUAACUUCGGGAGAAGGAGUGCCUUAUUUAUAAGGUUGCAAUAACAAGAUCCAAGCAACUGUUUAUCAAAAACACAGGUCUCCGCUAAGUCGUAAGACGAUGUAUGGGGGCUGACGCCUGCCCAGUGCCAGAAGGUUAAAGAAGUUGGUUAGCAUUCGCGAAGCUGAUAACUGAAGCCCUGGUGAACGGCGGCCGUAACAAUAACGGUCCUAAGGUAGCGAAAUUCCUUGUCGGGUAAGUUCCGACCCGCACGAAAGGCGUAAUGAUUUGGAUACUGUCUCGGAGAGGGGCUCGGUGAAAUAGACUUGUCUGUGAAGAUGCGGACUACCUGCACCAGGACAGAAAGACCCUAUGAAGCUUUACUGUAACUUGAGAUUGAAAUUGGACUUUACUUGCGCAGUAUAGGUGGGAGGCGUUGAUAAUAUUCUUGCGGGAUUAUUUGAGCCAUCAGUGAGAUACCACUCUUGUAAUGUUAGAUUUCUAACUUUGUAUCAUUAUCUGGUCAAAGGACAGUUUCAGGCGGGCAGUUUGACUGGGGCGGUCGCCUCCUAAACGGUAACGGAGGCGCACAAAGGUUUCCUCUGAACGGGUAGAAAUCGUAUCUAGAGUGUAAAGGCAUAAGGAAGCUUGACUGUGAGACCUACAAGUCGAGCAGGGACGAAAGUCGGUCUUAGUGAUCUGACGGUGCUGAGUGGAAAGGCCGUCACUCAACGGAUAAAAGUUACUCUAAGGAUAACAGGCUGAUCUCCCCCAAGAGUUCACAUCGACGGGGAGGUUUGGCACCUCGAUGUCGGCUCAUCGCAUCCUGGGGCGGUAGUACGUCCCAAGGGUUGGGCUGUUCGCCCAUGAAAGCGGUACGCGAGCUGGGUUCAGAACGUCGUGAGACAGUUCGGUCCAUAUCCGGUGUAGGCGUUAGAAUAUUGAGAGGAGCCUUCUUUAGUACGAGAGGACCGAGAAGGACAUACCUCUGGUGUACCAGUUAUCGUGCCAACGGUAAACGCUGGGUAGCUAUGUAUGGAGUGGAUAACCGCUGAAAGCAUCUAAGUGGGAAGCCCACCUCAAGAUAAG
rnacentral:rRNA from 1 species